GACCGCGUAGCUCAGUUAGCAGAGCAUUGGGCUAGUAUUCCAAAGGUCGUAGGUUCGAUUCCCACCGUGGCCG
rnacentral:tRNA from 1 species